CAGUCGCGUUCUCUGGGAUUCAGCCUUGCUUCUUGCUUGGUGCAUUUCCUAGUCUACGGGCCAGCAUGAAUCUUGAGCGGUGGAAAAGGGUUUGGGGAAUGUGGCACCUCCGGGUGUGUUAUAGCCUCCUGUCACAUGUGUCGGACCAGACUGAGGAACGCAGCUCGCAGCAGUGCCGGGGUUCGCCCCACGUACGAGCUUAGGAUGUUGACAUAAUGGACUUUAAACGACCCGUCUUGAAACACGGACCAAGGAGUCUAACAUGUAUGCGAGUGUU
rnacentral:rRNA from 1 species